UUAACGCGAAGAACCUUACCUGAUCUUGACAUCCCCCUGACCGGCGUGUAAUGGCGCCUUCCCUUCGGGGCAGGGGAGACAGGUGGUGCAUGGUUGUCGUCAGCUCGUGUCGUGAGAUGUUGGGUUAAGUCCCGCAACGAGCGCAACCCCUGUUUCCAGUAGCCAGCAUUUAAAGAUGGGCACUCUGGAGAGACUGCCCGGGAUAACCGGGAGGAAGGCGGGGAUGACGUCAAAUCAUCAUGCCCCUUAUGACCAGGGCUACACACGUGCUACAAUGGCGUAAACAAAGGGAGGCGAGACUGUGAAGUUAAGCAAAUCCCAGAAAAUACGUCUCAGUUCGGAUUGUAGUCUGCAACUCGACUACAUGAAGCUGGAAUCGCCAAUAAUCGCAGAUCAGAAUGCUGCGGUGAAUACGUUCCCGGGUCUUGUACACACGC
rnacentral:rRNA from 1 species